CGGGGCCCUUAGGAGCCUGCCGGGGAUCGCCAGCGGUGCUGCCAUCGCUCUCCUUCAGUGGAUCGGCCCCCGGAGGCCCCUAAGGUCCUCG
rnacentral:sRNA from 19 species